UACGGGGGGGGCAAGCGUUGUUCGGAAUUACUGGGCGUAAAGGGCUCGUAGGCGGCCAACUAAGUCAGACGUGAAAUCCCUCGGCUUAACCGGAGAACUGCGUCUGAUACUGGAUGGCUCGAGUUUGGGAGAGGGAUGCGGAAUUCCAGGUGUAGCGGUGAAAUGCGUAGAUAUCUGGAGGAACACCGGUGGCGAAGGCGGCAUCCUGGACCAACACUGACACUGAGGAGCGAAAGCCAGGGGAGCAAACGGG
rnacentral:rRNA from 1 species